rnacentral:tRNA from 2 species
GGGCGUGUAGCUCAGCGGGAGAGCAUCCGCCUUACAAGCGGAGGGUCGCAGGUUCGAACCCUGCCACGCCCACCA